UACGAAGGGGGCGAGCGUUGUUCGGAUUUACUGGGCGUAAAGGGCGCGCAGGCGGCUAUCCAAGUCAGGCGUGAAAGCCCCGGGCUUAACCUGGGAGGUGCGUCUGGGACUGGGUGGCUAGAGUUCGGGAGAGGAGAGUGGAAUUCCCAGUGUAGAGGUGAAAGUCGUAGAUAUUGGGAAGAACACCGGUGGCGAAGGCGGCUCUCUGGACCGAGACUGACGCUGAGGCGCGAAAGCGUGGGGAGCAAACAGG
rnacentral:rRNA from 1 species